UCUGCUGUGUAGCUGCUGUGUCUUCAGGCUGCUUCUAGGACCCCUGCAUCAGGUGGGUUUCUGGCUCGUGGUGCAUCGUCGGGCCACAUGUUGGACGGACAGACGGUAGAUUUACAGUCGAGUCACAAACAACGACAAUCACAACCAGGCUGUCGAUUCUGAUGUGAGAACGACCAAGCCAGACAACUGAGGAGCUCGAUGCAAACUGCUCUCCCUGCUGCUGAACUAAGCACAAGAAGUAACACGUAUAAAAAGAUGGUGAAUAACACAACAGCACAGAAGAAGAAACUAAUUUCUUCAACCAGUUUGUUCUCAUCUCCGAUCACAGAGAGGUAGAACGACACGAGUGUAAGCGCACACUUUAAUUACACCAUGUUUACACAGUAAUCUAAGCACUUACAGAUAAAGCAGAGUUAUUUUAAAACAGACAUGUAUCUGUAGAUAUGGUGACGACUGGUUAAAUUAAAAGACGUCAUGUACUAUAAACAUUCACAAUGUUUUUAAUCGUUUUCAAGUUAUGUUAAAGUUGUCAUUCAGAUAUUUUUUGCUUCUGGAUCCUUUUGUGUCAAAAUCAAAGGCGAUUAUUACUAUACGUAUCUCUAUAUAUACAAAUAUAUAUUCAGAACUAUUUGGAAACAGACAAAUAUUUAAAACUAGACAUAAGAUCCGAUGUUUUAAUGUUGUUAAUGGUCAGUUAAGGAGAGGAUUGUAGAUGACUGACAGUGAAAAAGUGAAUUGAAUCUGUAUCAUGUGGAAGUUUUUAUUUUCACUAUAUAUCAUCUGUUAUAAUAACACACAGUGUUCUCUGCAGCCGAGAGUAAAGGAGAAAUAAUUCUAGCUCUGAGUAAAAUCCAAAAUAGGACCUGAGGUUAGAUAAUAUUUCAUUUUAUUUCCCCAUGUAGACGCAGGGAAAAACCAGCAAUAAAACCUAUAAUAAAUAGAUAGUAUAGACAAGCAUAUCUAUAUCUAGCUCUCCUCUGUGCUGGAGGCCAUAACCAUAGGCUAACAUGUGUCUUUGAAUCCUAUGAACAAAGCCACUGUGGUUUAUUUGUGGUGGGGCUGUAAACACUCACUAAAACAGAAGCUGUGUUUAUUCUUGUCUGAGUAACUUGAACAUGAAGAACCCAACGACUGAGUUUUAAAAAUAAUCUAAGCAAAUAGAAAUGGCUCUAGUCUUUUAAAUCGAGAUAUGUAAGAAAUAAUAAGAAUUCAGAACCAGG